rnacentral:snRNA from 10 species
AUACUUACCUGGCAGGGGAGAUACCAUGAUCACGAAGGUGGUUUUCCCAGGGCGAGGCUUAUCCAUUGCACUCCGGAUGUGCUGACCCCUGCGAUUUCCCCAAAUGUGGGAAACUCGACUGCAUAAAUUGUGGUAGUGGGGGACUGCGUUCGCGCUUUCCCCCG